rnacentral:rRNA from 1 species
UGAGGAACAUGACCUUCGGCGGGGGAUAGCCGGCCCAACGGCCGGGUAAUACCGCGUACGACCUUUCGGGGACAUCCCCGGAUGGUGAAAGCAGCAAUGCGCCGAUGGAGUGCCUCGCGGCCUAUCAGCUAGUUGGUGAGGUAACGGCUCACCAAGGCAACGACGGGUAGCUGGUCUGAGAGGAUGGCCAGCCACAUUGGGACUGAGACACGGCCCAGACUCCGUACGGGAGGNAGCG